rnacentral:lncRNA from 1 species
GGUAAUACUGUCAAUCAACAUUUAAGAGAUGUGAAAAUAUUGCUGAGCUUGUUCAUUUAUUUAGCCAGCGUCCUGGGAUUUCUCCACUGGGCUGCUGAGCUAAGCUUGAGGAUGUAGAGUCAGUUCCAUGCUUGCUCUUCCAGAGGUAGGUUCUGAGGACAAGGAUGAAGAACUGGCCCGUGGAUCCCUGAUUCAGUGAGUGAAGCUUGUGCGUGCAGUGAUAGAUCCAGCCUGAUUUUCUCUUAAAAUUGGGAGCCAUCUCGCCACAAAGCCAUGAAAAGCUAAUUUCAGCUUUACUGUAAAUUACUGCAAAUUCUGAACUUGCUUGGAAUGCCUACCCAUGCCUUGAACUCACCCAUGCCUGGCUCUCUGUGACCAGAUAGCAGCCCUCUCUGAAACUUUAGUGACGCCUCAUCAAUCUUGGCCUUCCCUGGCCAGAUAAUGACCCUCUCUGAGGCUCAAAUGAUCUUCAUAAAUUCUGAUGUUGGGCCAGCAAAAAUGUAAACUAACCUUUGUGUUAUGCUCAUCAGAGUUUUGUUAUCUGUAACCCCCCUUUUGUGUAAUUUUCUGGGCUAUAAAUCUGGGCUGCAAGAAAGAUGCAGUGCUGUCUUGUUCCCGUGGUUUUUGUUGGGAGAGGCAGCCCGGCCGGUUGAAAUAAUAAGCUUGCUUUAAUUUGAUUUUAAUUGGAGUCAGUGGUCUUUUCCUGCAUCCUGGUCUAACAGCAGAACAGGGAAGGAGAUGGAGAAGAAAGGAUGUAUUCUGCCUGGUGUGGGGGGCAGGCUUCAGCAAGGUGGCACUGCUAAGGAAGAUCUCUAAAGACGGCAAGGGCACUACUUGAGGAAGGUGCGACCAACCCUGGACAC